rnacentral:rRNA from 1 species
AUCUGGGCGGCGGAAUUCAGAAUGACUGGCGGGCCUCGCGCACGUCCGGUCGUUUGGUGUUUCCGUCGCCGACGCAGACGUCGCGACCUGUUUGUCGUCGGUCCCUGCUCGGAGGAGCCGUUGUCGAGUUCGUUGCGGGCGCGUUUCGGCGCGCUCCGCGACGAAGGCACGCGGAUCUCUGGCCGACGACGGACAGUAAGCAACGGUGUCCGACGCCGUGUCACGCACUCGGCGUUCGGUACCGGUCGGCGACGAUUUCUUCGGGCCUCUUUCCGACCCGUCUUGAAACACGGACCAAGGAGUCUAACAUGCGCGCGAGUCGCGGGGUAUCGAGCGUACCACGGUGCGCUCGUUACGUCACGAAACCCGUACGUUGAAGGCGUAAUGAAAGUGAAAUGGGGAAGAUGGUGUUCCGAGAUCACGUACCGCGAUCCAGUAUUGCGGCCGGACGCCCGCAUUCCCGGGGCGUCUCAACGGCUCGUCGCGGACGCGGACGGUCGUCUCUCGGGGCGGCCGUCGAUCUGCGACGGACCGA